UUGACCGGGCCGUGCAGCUUCUCUGGGAGGCUCAUACCCAUUUUUGAGCCCCUGGCUUCCCAGCUGGGGGUGGAGGGUGGGGAAGUGACCCAAGCUCCCACACUGACUGCACGGCAACCUGAAGACGCCUUUUGGAAAGGAAAGUUUGAAAAUGGAGAAAUGCACCAAGAAAAUUAAAAUCACCUGUAUCCUUGCCACAUAAAUAUGUUUUGUUUAUGCCCUCCUGAUGUUUAGACAGAUAAGCAGUUAGAUCUGAGAAAGAGAGACGAGCUUACAGACGCACGCACUGAUGGAUAGACAUUUUUAAAAACAGAGCUGAGAGAAGAGAGCAGAUUCUGUUUUGCAGGGUUUUUUGUUCACUUAACAUUGAUGAUGCGGUUCUGAUGGCCACUUUCUGUGGGGGCUCAAGGAUGUGAAAUGACUCAUCUGUGCUUACACAGCAGCAAGGAUGAUGCAAGCCUGUACCUACUAAGGACCACUACACGGAUCCCAAGAAUAAAGCCAACACAGAGGAAAAGAGAGCCAAGAGGUGGGGCUGGACUAGAUUUCCAUUGCAUUGUGGAAGCUCCUGGAUCCAGCAGUUCCUGAAUCAAUCCACCAUGGACUUUGGAGAUACACAAGACGAGUCCACUUUUUGCUUUAUUGAGUUGGCUUUUGGUCACUUGAGGCUGAGUGGCCCUUAUGUAUUUGGAAGCCUCACACAAAGCAGAGCAGCCAUGGUAUCUAGCUCUCCCGACUCCCAGUGUGGACUCCUUCCACCGGACUCUCUAAGAUACCCUGCAGUAGAUUACACAACAUUUCAGUCCCCUCAGGAUGUGACUUUGUUUGUGGAAGAGGAUGCCUUACUCACUUACUUUGAACGCUGUAUCUCAGGAAAGGCUUUCCCAUGAACACCGAAUAGAUGAAUGAAUCGCAACGAAAGUGUUGCCACUUGGAAAGUUUUGUUUUAAAUGAUCUAAAUUAGAGGAACAGUCUUUUCCUUUUAAUGUGCAUAUAAAAUCACUGCACUUUCCUGGUUAACAAUAUAAGUCCCAUUCUCAUUAUCAGAAUCAUAAAAAUGAGCGAGGUGACAGUUUCUUUUUAAAAUGCAAAGUGUUUUAUGUCAGAAGUGAUGAGAAAUUAGAUGGCGACUCUGCAUCUAUGCAGUUAUAAAAGGGUGAGUUUCUUUCUGUCGGUAUUUUUCACAAUCAUGAUCCAAUUUUCUUGCCUUAAAAAAACAUGGUUUUAUAUACCAUUAGCUUAAGGAAACAAGAAACUACACACAAACCCUUGCAUUUUUAUGGAGACAAAGAGAAGGCAGUGAGCUGUUCAAAAGGAAAGUUAUAAAUGUAAUGAUAGGAAGGCCACGUGAUGCGCCUUAAUUCAAAAGGGGCCCAUUAUUGGAUUGUGAUCUGAUUGUGUUUACAAAUAUAUAGCCAGAAGGCUUUUAAUUUUGGGACAAUUUCAUUGUUCAUAGAUAGAUAUCCAGCUACAGAUAUGAAAUCUAUGAAAUUAUGUGCUUAUGUGUUUUAAAUGAGAUACAGCUCCUCUCUUUUAAUGCAAUAAUAUUCCUAUUUUAUGAUCUAUGGUUGCCCAAAGUUGGGGCAAUUUUAUAACAAUCUUAUUUGAAAUAUCAUAAUAGAUGAAAGAUGUAAAUAAUGUGAUGUUUAGAGACCUGGUUGAAAUUUGAAUUCAAUGGAAUUUCGCCACCGCUGGAGCUAACAAGGACAGACUUUAUUAAAUUGCACAGAUUGGAUUCUUCUUGCCUUUCCAGCCACUU